GCUUGAAGCCGGCUGGUCUGGGAUACAGUUUAUUUGAGCAGCAGCGUCUGGGCUGAGGAUCAAGAUGCCUGAGAGUCGCUUGGCAUCUCUAUGUUCGCAGCAAUCAACAGUGAGUUCGAACCGGUUCGUGAGGCAAAGGCCAAGACUUGUUGUUUAAGGCGUUCUCGAACCAGCCGGAUCCACAGAGCUGUGACAGCUAGUGCUGGACAAAGGAAUGGAGCAUCUGGUGCAUUGUCAAUCCAUACUUCGCCGCAGCGGAAGAAUCUCAAUUGAGGCUAUGGUGUUCCAGCUCCCCAGUUAACCAUGUACAUACCCCUAUAAAUUCUCUCUCCUGAUCUUGUUCCAGGGUACUGCAGCUGGCGGCACGCCUGAGGUUGUUGCGGAUAGAACCACCGGAUUGCUUAGCCCGGUUGGGAAAGAAGGUGUUUCAGCUUCAAAUGGCACAGUUAGAAACGAGCAUGGCCGGCAACGGUUCCUCGUA